UGCCAAGUAAAAUUUGAAUUUCAGAUCAAUAUUGAAUAACUUUUAGUAUAAGUAUGUCCCAUGCAAUGUUUGAGACAUACUUAUACUAAAAAAUUAUUUGCUGUUGAUCUGGAAUUCAAAUUUACCUAGAUGU
rnacentral:miRNA from 1 species